AAAAAUAUACUCAACCGAAGGACUAAGAAUCCGUUAUCUCUAAUAUUCCGUUACUAACAAACCAAAACAAGGACGCACAGGUAUCAUAGAUUGAAUUUUCAAGAGGUGAUGCCAGAUGACAAACAAGAAUUGAGUAGUGGAGAGAGGAAGUAAGAGAAAAUAUCCAAGAGCCAUGUAAGAACUUAUACUUGAUCAGAACCAAAUUGAGCAGCGCUCACAAGGCCUUGCCCCCCUUUGCAAUAUCAUCUUUAAUUGCUCUUUGAAUCCAUUUCACGAUAAGCCACUGAACUCCAAGUAUGAGGGGAAUCAACACCUUCCCCCUGUCAUUUGA
rnacentral:misc_RNA from 1 species